rnacentral:lncRNA from 14 species
CUCAGACCACACAAUUAUUGAAAUGGUUAGUUUGGGACAUUUUAAAGCUAGGAAUUAAGAAAUGAUUGGAGUGUUUGUAGCUUUCCAUAAUACCAAAGUCACAGGGGGUGGUUUGUCAAGUGGGUAAGAUGGAGCCUGUCAUUUACAGAGAUCUAGUCAGAAUGUAGGGAUGAGAUGGUGGUUUUCAUCUCAUUCUCUGCUGAGAAUACUGUUUCUCAUAAAACCAAACACGUGAUCUCACAAGUUUAGUACCUUCUGAUCAGAUUUAAUUUGGAGCACAUAUGCCCAACAUAUGUAACAUCAUCAAACAGUUACCUGAUGCUCUUCAAAACAGUGUGAACAAAGCAAUAACUUCAAGGAUUCUGGGGAUUAUAACUGGAAUGCAGACAAGGCUGACAUGUCCUUCAGCAUUUUUAGCAUGAUCUAAGUAUGAACACAGCUGCUUUUCCAUGGGAGCCUGAGGAGAACUCAUUCAAGAUGAAAGGAAGUGGAAUGCAUCUGAAAGAACAGCCAAAUUUUGAUGGCUUUUUCUUGCUGAUGAUAUGAGCAGUUAAAUCUUUUAAAGGGCAGUGUUGCUUUCCUUUUAGUCCUAUUGGUUGUACAACUCUUACCCAUCUUUUGUGAAUGUAUCAUAUUUAAUCGUUUGCCAAAACCCGUUUGUUUAAUUAAAUUCUUUUU